CGCUUCUCUUCUUCUAAUUGUCGCAGCAGGAGUUGGAAGUAAAUGGGAGUUGCUGUCGUGGCAGAAAAAGAGCGAAGUUGCAGAUGAUGUCGCUUUCUGGUUGAUGCUUUUGAGGUUUCAGCCACUGCGUUUAAGAGGUGCUUGAGGGAGGACAAGUGCUAGAAUGGGUCGGAGAAAGUGCAGACAUCCAGUACAUAACGAAGUAAGAGAGGUGAUUGAAGUUCGAUUCUUUGAUGAACUGGAUGCAACCCAUCAUACCUCCCUGCUGAAUUUUUCUCCAGCCUGAUCACAAUCCAGAGUCCCCAUGGAUGAUUUUCUGAAGGGAAACUACACCAGCUAUGAGGCAUAAAUACAUGAAAGAAACUUAAGGUUGCAUAUGGGGGUAGUGUUGGUGAAACUGGAAAAAGCUAGUGCCAGCUGAGGAAGUAGUUACACAAUCCCACUGCUCGACAUUGAUGCUAUGCUACAUUUCUUCUUCAUGAAAG